rnacentral:rRNA from 1 species
GAUGAACGCUGGCGGCGUGCCUAAUACAUGCAAGUAGAACGCUGAAGGAAGGAGCUUGCUCUUUCCGGAUGAGUUGCGAACGGGUGAGUAACGCGUAGGUAACCUGCCUGGUAGCGGGGGAUAACUAUUGGAAACGAUAGCUAAUACCGCAUAACAGUAGAUGUUGCAUGAUAUCUACUUAAAAGGUGCAAUUGCACCACUACCAGAUGGACCUGCGUUGUAUUAGCUAGUUGGUGAGGUAACGGCUCACCAAGGCGACGAUACAUAGCCGAACUGAGAGGGUGAUCGGCCACACUGGGACUGAGACACGGCCCAGAAUCCUACGGGAGGCAGCAGUAGGGAAUCUUCGGCAAUGGACGGAAGUCUGACCGAGCAACGCCGCGUGAGUGAAGAAGGUUUUCGGAUCGGAAAGCUCUGUUGUAAGAGAAGAAAGAGUGUGAGAGUGGAAAGUUCACACUGUGACGGUAUCUUACCAGAAAGGGACGGCUAACUACGUG